rnacentral:miRNA from 15 species
GGCUACAACUCAGGACCCGGGC